CUUGAUUAAAGAGGCGGAAAAAAAGGAGUUUGACUCCAAGAAGAAUGAUAGUAGCAGAAGGCGCAUCUGGCUUUACUUUCCAAAUUCCAUCAAAGUUUGUGUUUUGUUUCAUUUGACAGCGAUCCCGUGAACGUCUCCUCUGGGGAAAUGGCGCGACCAAAGCCCGCCAAGCCCAGCCUGCGAACUGGAGGAUUUAUUAAUGUAAUAUGUUAAACAAAACCUCGACAGACACAAACUCAAAGGAAACCGUGCGCUCCUUAAGUCAAAGGCAUCUGUUCUGGAAGCAGAACCCGGUUUGCUGUUGGUAACCAGCGUUAAGAGCAGGAUUUUUAAACAUGAUAAUGGAUAAAAUAAAAGAAAAGCGAAGUCCCGCGGUCCUCUGACUCCUAUUCAUUAUCUCCAGCAGCAUAUGGGACCAUUCUCCUACGUAUCCUCGCCUUUUUCUUCUGAAAAAGCAAAAGCAACCAAGCCUGUCCCGCUUCAGAGCAAUCCUACUCUUUGUGCCUGAG
rnacentral:lncRNA from 1 species